GACGUAGGGGGCAAGCGUUAUUCGGAAUCAUUGGGCGUAAAGCGCUCGUAGGCGGGAAGGCAAGUCCGUGUUGAAAGACCUCGGCUCAACUGAGGGACCGGCUCGGAUACUGUUUUCUUGAGGCAUUCAGAGGGUGAUGGAAUUCCGGGUGUAGCGGUGGAAUGCGUAGAGAUCCGGAAGAACACCGGAGGCGAAAGGCGGCUUGCUGGACCGUGGUCUGACGCUGGAGGCGCGAAAGCGUGGGGAGCGAACAGG
rnacentral:rRNA from 1 species